rnacentral:rRNA from 1 species
GACGAACGCUGGCGGCGUGCUUAACACAUGCAAGUCGAACGGUGAAGCGCCUUCCUUUUUGGUGGGUGUGGAUGAGUGGCGAACGGGUGAGUAACACGUUAGUAACCUGCCCCCUUCUUCUGGAUAACCGCAUGAAAGUGUGGCUAAUACGGGAUAUUCUGGGUCUGUCGCAUGAUGGGUCUGGGAAAGAUAUUGUUUCGGUGGGGGAUGGGCUCGCGGCCUAUCAGCUUGUUGGUGGGGUGAUGGCCUACCAAGGCGGUGACGGGUAGCCGGCCUGAGAGGGUGGACGGCCACACUGGGACUGAGACACGGACAAGACUACUACGGGAGGCAGCAGUGAAGAAUACUGCACGAUGGGCGGAAGCAUGAUGCAGCGCCGCCGCGUGAGGGAUGGAGGCCUGCGGGUUGUGAACCUCUUUCGCCAGUGAAGCAGGCCUGCCUCGUUUGUGGGUGGGUUGACGGUAGCUGGAUAAGAAGCGCCGGCUAACUACGUG